GAAAGAGUCUCCUCCCAGCUCCUUCCUGGCCUGCUAGUGAGUUCGCCUUGUUACUUUCUUUCUGCAAAAACUAAAGCCAGGAAUCAUUUUCAGUGAAUCAAUUGAAUACAGCUAGUAGAAACAUAAAAAGGUGGCAAUUAAACAGUAAGAAAGCAUCUGGCAUAAAUUAAGUGAACAGAUCACCAAAUCAUUUGGAAAACAACACAUAUAUUUGGCACUGGUUUUGGCAUUUGGAGGGAACACGCUUAGGAGUAAGAGUCUGCAACCAAGAAGCUUACAUUCUAAGAGAGAAAAUAAGAAAAUAAAGAAGAAGAGAUUAAGACUCACAAGGAGAUACCAGGGAUGCAAGCACACAGAGGAAAGAUCAUGUGAGGACGCAGUGAGAAGGAGGCAUCUGCAAGGCAGGGAGAGAGGCUUCAGAAGAAACCAGACCUGCCGACACCUUGAUCUUGGACUUCCAGUCUCCAGAACUGUAAGAAAAUUAAUUUCUGUUGUUUAAGCCCCCCAGUCUAUAGUAUUUUGUUAUGGUAGCCCAAGAAAAUUAAUACAAUAGUAGUCAGUGGAUACAUUUGGCUAUUUAAUUUACAUUAAUUAAAAUUAAAUAAAAGUGAAACUUCAGUUUCUCCCUCAUAUUAGCCACACAUCAAGUACUCAAUAGCCACAUGUAGCUAAUGGUUACUGUACAAGACAGUGUCAGAGAUAUAGAACAUUUUCAUCAUUGCAGAAAUUUAUAUUGGACAAUGUUGCUCCUCUAAAGGCAGGGUGAAAGCAAUUUUUGUUUAAAUAUAUGGGAUAAA
rnacentral:lncRNA from 10 species